UUACUGGCGGACGGAUGAGUAUCGCGUGAGCAACCUGCCUUACAGAGGGGGACAACAGUUGGAAACGACUGCUAAUACCGCAUAAUAUAGCGAGUGCGCAUCCACCUGUUAUCAAAAGAACAAUCCGCUGUAAGAUGGGCUC
rnacentral:rRNA from 1 species